rnacentral:rRNA from 1 species
AUACGUAGGGAGCGAGCGUUGUCCGGAAUUACUGGGUGUACAGGGAGCGUAGGCGGGAGGGCAAGUCAGAUGUGAAAUACAUGGGCUCAACCCAUGGGCUGCAUUUGAAACUGCAUUUCUUGAGUGAAGUAGAGGUAAGCGGAAUUCCUGGUGUAGCGGUGAAAUGCGUAGAUAUCAGGAGGAACACCGGUGGCGAAGGCGGCUUACUGGGCUUUUACUGACGCUGAGGCUCGAAAGCGUGGGGAGCAAACAGGAUUAGAUACCCUGGUAGUCCACGCUGUAAACGAUGAUUACUAGGUGUGGGGGGACUGACCCCUUCCGUGCCGCAGUUAACACAAUAAGUAAUCCACCUGGGGAGCACGGCCGCAAGGUUGAAACUCAAAUGAAUUGACGGGG